AAAAUCCGCCAAUAAAUGCGUGACAAUGUGCGUGUCAGCAAAGUAGAAAUCCUGAAUUUAGUGGCGGAAAAUUCCGCCAGUAACUUAUCUCCUUUUUUAAAAAAAAAUAAAAUAAAUUUUUUUGUUUUUGGUUGCUGAUUCCAGCUGCAAAUCCCGUUUCUGUGUAGGACUAGGAUCCAUUAUGAUAUAUAUUGCUUUAGUCUGGUUUUGUAUGGUAAUGG
rnacentral:lncRNA from 1 species